rnacentral:rRNA from 1 species
CCUGCAAGUCGAACGAUGAUCCCUAGCUUGCUGGGGGGAUUAGUGGCGAACGGGUGAGUAACACGUGAGUAACCUGCCCUUGACUCUGGGAUAAGCCUGGGAAACUGGGUCUAAUACUGGAUAUGACUGACUAUCGCAUGGUGGUUGGUGGAAAGCUUUUGUGGUUUUGGAUGGACUCGCGGCCUAUCAGCUUGUUGGUGGGGUAAUGGCCUACCAAGGCGACGACGGGUAGCCGGCCUGAGAGGGUGGACGGCCACACUGGGACUGAGACACGGCCCAGACUCCUACGGGAGGCAGCAGUGGGGAAUAUUGCACAAUGGGCGCAAGCCUGAUGCAGCGACGCCGCGUGAGGGAUGAAGGCCUUCGGGUUGUAAACCUCUUUCAGUAGGGAAGAAGCGAAAGUGACGGUACCUGCAGAAGAAGCGCCGGCUAACUACGUGCCAGCAGCCGCGGUAAUACGUAGGGCGCAAGCGUUAUCCGGAAUUAUUGGGCGUAAAGAGCUCGUAGGCGGUUUGUCGCGUCUGCCGUGAAAGUCCGGGGCUUAACUCCGGAUCUGCGGUGGGUACGGGCAGACUUGAGUGAUGUAGGGGAGACUGGAAUUCCUGGUGUAGCGGUGAAAUGCGCAGAUAUCAGGAGGAACACCGAUGGCGAAGGCAGGUCUCUGGGCAUUAACUGACGCUGAGGAGCGAAAGCAUGGGGAGCGAACAGGAUUAGAUACCCUGGUAGUCCAUGCCGUAAACGUUG